rnacentral:lncRNA from 1 species
GAUUGUAUUUCAAGAUCUAUAUUGCCUUUAUGAAAUUAAUCUAUUUUGAGACUGUUUAAAGAUGCUGGAUGAUUGUUCCAUUUUGACAUCCUGUAUAUACAAUAAUCCAUUUUUCUUGGGUUUUGUUAGGUUUUUUUCCAGUUCCCUGGAUUCCGCUGACUGUGUGUCAAAGCAGACAAGCAGCCAGCCUCUAAGUGAAACAGCUGUCAGAGAAAAAGUGACUGAUCUCAGUGAAUCAGAUUGCCCAGACCUAGAAGGCAAGAAGCUGGUAGAUACACAGGCAGCACAUAAUUCAAGUGGUGAGAGUCCAGAUGAUGUGACUGUGUUUGCUGGUGAAGAGCCUCAGUUUGUUAGGACCGGCACAUUCACAAGGACCAUUUCACCACCCACUCUGGGGACACUAAGAAGUUGCUUCAGUUGGUCUGGAAGUCUCAGAGAGUUUUCAAACUCUCUGAGAACCUCUCCAAAGCCAAGCACAAUGUCACAGCAGUUCCAAAGAAAAAGCGGUUCCCCUUCCUCUCUGCCUGAAGACACUAAUAUGUCUGAUAUGUCUCAGUCAAAGAGUGAUGAGUCAGGUGAUGAAGCUCAGCCCUUACGUGAAAUGGAUUUGUCCUCACAGUCUCAGAAAAGUAUGGAAUUCUCACCACACAGUUUAAAUGCAUCAGAACUUUCUCAGCCUUCUAGUAAGGAUUCCGAUUCAGAGGAGUCUGAUUGUAAUAAUAAGUCACUUCAUAAUCAAGGUAAUCAGAACUCCAAGCAACAUUUAUCUCAUUUUUCAAGGAAAGAGACACUUCUAAGGAAUAAGGUUCCUGGGCUAAGUAAAUCUAGUUCUGUGGACUGUCUUUCUGCCACCAAGAUCAAAGCUCUGGUUCCUGCCAGAGUCAGUGGGCUGAGCAGGAAGCCAGCAAGCAUCCAGAGGAGAAAUCAUCGCAAUGCCGAGAACAAGCCAGGUUUACAGAUAAAAAUCAAUGAGCUCUGGAAAAAUUUUGGUUUUAAAAAAGAUUCUGAAAAGCUUGUUUCUUAUAAAAAGCCCCUGUCUCCAGUGAAAGAUAACAUCCAGCUAACUCCGGAAGCAGAAGAGGAUAUAUUUAACAAACCUGAAUGUGCCCAUGUUCAGAGAGCAAUAUUCCAAUAAACACGGACUGCUGGGAGGCUGCUGUCCUCUGGAAGAUUAUAUCAAUUGGAACUCCUUGUUUGGAAGUGAGGCGAUUACCAGCCUGAAAGAUUUGUUCUUAGACAACAUUUUAAAACUAGAAUGUAUUUUGUAUGACGUUAACUGCAUAAUUGUUUCACUCAGCUUUUUAUAUUUUCAUAAAAAGCUAAAGAGAAUAAUUUUGUCUUUGAUGGUUUUUUUGGAAGUUUUAGUGUUUAAUUGGGCAAAUCCUCUGGAGUUGAUGAAAAUCUAAAGAUCUGUGUGAUGUCUAGUAUAAGAUGGUAAAUGGAAAGCCACAAUUCUAUAGUCUUUAUGCUAGAAGAAAUCACUGUUUCUCCAGGCUUUAGAUUUUUCCUGCUGCUUUCCCUGUCCAUCAUCUCUGUGGACUUGAAAAUAGAGUUGCUGUGAUGGGAGGGACGGUUGAAAGGUUAAAGAUCAUUACCCAAAUGCAGCUGUGUUCCAUUAUUCCCGAAGAGUUUGGCUGGUCAUAGGUUGACAGCAAAGGACAGUUGUUUUCGGCCUCAUGUAAAGGAACUAUUUCUCUUUUUUUUGGGUACCGGGGAUCGAACUCAGGACCUUGCGCUUGCGAGGCAGGCAGCAGAACCACUGAGCUAAAUCCCCGGUCCAGGAACUAUUUCUUGUGUCAUUAAUAUUCUUCAAACUUCAGAACAGCCUCAGGUUUUCUUCAUGUAUUUUGAGUGUGGACUGAAAAUUCCUUAACAUCUAUUUGAAACUAGUACCCUCCACACUAUAAAACCCUAACACUAUAGGGUCCAUGACAGGCAUACUCUACAAAAAUUGACAGAUGCCUGGAAAGAGAAUGGCCUACACAUGAAGAUCUGGAAUGACAAGAAAGCAAUAAAGGAAUUUGUAAUAAACAGGAUAAAAGAAAAGGACCAGAGCAUAUUAACUUUUCAAUUAAGAAAGAGACUCAAUCUGGAAAAGGCCUAGUCCAAAGAACAAAAGCAGAUUUGGAUUCCCUGUAAAUGUUUGCUACUAUAGGCAAAUUUAGCUCAGUGGUGCCUGCCUCGCAAGCGCAAGGUUCUCAGCUCAGUCCCCAGUACCCAGGAAAAAGUGAAUCAGACAUUGUGCACACAUAUUUGUCUCCUCGCUUAUUUAAAAUGCCACUUAAAUGUAAGGAAAUGAACAAAAUGCCAUAAAUCCACAAGGGUUAACAGAAUGGACAGGGAGAUGGGACAAGGAAACCAAUGGAUGAGGAGUAAAUGAUCUCUCAAAGCACUUUUUAAAAUGGUUUUUCUAGCAGCAGAAGCCAACAAGAAAAAUUCUGAAUGGGCUCAGUAAAUGGAGACAUUCAAGUUCCUCUGCCUACUAGAGGACCCAGACUCAAAGGAGCAAGUUGAGGAAUUUGAAGUUGGCAGGGCCUUUGCCAGUUCCAGUGGGUGAGGGCAACAGGCCUGCCUGAAGGCUGAAGAACUUACAGACCCCAGUGUCAUAUGGUUUAGUACUGCAUGAGGAAAGGCCUGGAGACUGAGUUCAGGAUAAAUUUCUAAAUUCAGGGUAUAAAAUGUCUAUAUCCACCAGGGCAUAUAUUUUUAUACCAUAUUUGGAAAGUUUACUUGGCAUAUAUUACUGAAACUUUCAACAACCGCAAAAUGAUGCAAGUUGUCAAUUGUCAUGCAUUCAGACCAUGUAUAAAUUGCUUGACAAUGCCACAUCUGUCACUUCUCCAUAAAUCCUUUAGAUGCUGAUAAUUAGAAUGAUAAAGUUGUGCUAUGAAGGCUUUUAGUUCAGAUAGUGAGAUGUCAUAAUAAAUAUAUUUUUAUUUGCAUUACUGUUUUCUUCAUCUGAACCAAGGUCUUCAUUCUGUACUUCUCUGUCAUAUCUUGCUAAUUGCUUUGGCUUAUAUGAUCCAAGUCAUCAUCAGUAGCUGAAUCACUUGACUCAUUUUCAAUCUCCUCCCAAAGUUGUAAAAGUGAAUUUUCAUGUGACAUAGAAUUGAGCUAAUUCUAUAAGAAAAAAAGAAAAAACAUGUAAUAAAAAAUUAUAAAUACACAAAAAUGUAACUGCGUAACAUGGACAAAACUCACCCAUUUACACUGAUACAUGUGCACACACCUUGCCAUUCAUUGUACCAAGUGAGGAAACACAAAGAUUGCUUUCAGUAUUCCCCCCCAGCACAAUUACUGAG